rnacentral:rRNA from 1 species
CCCUUAGAUGUUCUGGGCUGCACGCGCGCUACACUGAUGCGCUCAACGAGUUUUAACCUUGCCUGGAAAGGUUGGGUAAUCUUUUGAAUGUGCAUCGUGAUUGGGAUAGAUGAUUGCAAUUUUUCAUCUUCAACGAGGAAUGCCUAGUAAACGCAAGUCAUCAGCUUGCAUUGAUUACGUCCCUGCCCUUUGUACACACCGCCCGUCGCUCCUACCGAUUGAAUGAUCCGAUGAAUAUCAUGGAUUGAGGAUGCAAGUAGGUUCGCCUAUCUUCAUCUUCGAGAAGUGAAGUAAAUCUUAUCAUUUAGAGGAAGGAGAAGUCGUAACA